UACAGAGGUCCCAAGCGUUGUUCGGAUUCAUUGGGCGUAAAGGGUGCGUAGGCGGCGCGGUAAGUCGGGUGUGAAAUCUCGGAGCUUAACUCCGAAACUGCAUUCGAUCACUGCCGUGCUUGAGGACUGGAGAGGAGACUGGAAUUACGGUGUAGCUGGUGAAAUGCGUAGAUAAUCGUAAGGAAGACCAGUGGCGAAGGCGGGUCUCUGGACAGUUCCGUGACGCUCGAGGCACGAAGGCCAGGGGAGCAAACGGG
rnacentral:rRNA from 1 species